rnacentral:lncRNA from 1 species
UUUUCGAGGGACUUGACCAUUUAAAGAAGGCAACCAAGAGGAAUACCCUAGGAAGUACAGAUGGCGAUCAAAGAUCGACCUACGUGUGUGAGUGUUAUUUUUCAGAUAUUUGUCUUGAAUUUAAUUUUCUAAGUUCAAUUAUUUCAGUUAGUUUUUUGAACUCCCUAAAUUACUAACCACGCAAUAAAUAUUUACAAAAAUAAAAGCAAGAAAAAUAAAUUCCUAAACUAUUACAUGGCUAUGGGACAGAUACAUAAUAAUCAGGC